rnacentral:tRNA from 1 species
GGAAAGCUGGCAGAGUGGCCGAAUGCACUUGUUUCGAAAACAAGCGACCUGAGAGGGUCCGUAGGUUCGAAUCCUACGCUUUCCGCCA